ACAGCAAAAGCAGAAGAGUUAAAUUUCUGGUGUUGGCAAAAUUUAGUUAGGAGUAGAGUUAAUUAAACUCUUAACAGAGUCAAAUAUUUUAAGUUUUACUCUCUGGGGACAAAUAGUUGGUGUUAGUAUGGAGUGUCAGAACGGAGUGUUUGUGAAUUAACUCUGUAAGUGUCAGUGAAUGACAUUUUACUCUCUUAUUUUAAACGAUGAACUCCGUACAUGGAAAUGACUCCUCAGGUGUUAACUCAUCAACCCCGCCCCCUCAUACAUGCUUCGGUAGUAGACUACUAACGUAGUCUUUCAUUCUGGGAGCUGCAGAUUGAACUUUUCUCCAGCUGAGAUGAUGUUGUUUGAAAAUGCUGGCAAAGGUGCAAUACGGAGGAGUCCAGAAGUACAUCAAAGUUCCACAGAGAAAUGAAAACUGUGAUUACCUCCAAUUUCUUCAUGAGGUAACAGAAAAAUUUAGUCUGCAAG